AUUGAACGCUGGCGGCAGGCCUAACACAUGCAAGUCGAGCGGUAACACAGGGAGCUUGCUCCCGGGUGACGAGCGGCGGACGGGUGAGUAAUGUCUGGGAAACUGCCUGAUGGAGGGGGAUAACUACUGGAAACGGUAGCUAAUACCGCAUAACGUCGCAAGACCAAAGAGGGGGACCUUCGGGCCUCUUGCCCUCCGAUGUGCCCAGAUGGGAUUAGCUAGUAGGUGGGGUAACGGCUCACCUAGGUGACGAUCCCUAGCUGGUCUGAGAGGAUGACCAGCCACACUGGAACUGAGACACGGUCCAGACUCCUACGGGAGGCAGCAGUGGGGAAUAUUGCACAAUGGGCGCAAGCCUGAUGCAGCCAUGCCGCGUGUAUGAAGAAGGCCUUCGGGUUGUAAAGUACUUUCAGCGGGGAGGAAGGCGAUAAGGUUAAUAACCUUGUCGAUUGACGUUACCCGCAGAAGAAGCACCGGCUAACUCCGUGCCAGCCGCCGCCGUAA
rnacentral:rRNA from 1 species